rnacentral:tRNA from 1 species
GCGCCGGUGGUGGACAUCGCUGCCCGGAAAGCAGAAGAUGCGGGUUCGAGUCCCGCCUGGUGCA